rnacentral:rRNA from 1 species
CCUACGGGUGGCAGCAGUGGGGAAUAUUGGGCAAUGGGCGCAAGCCUGACCCAGCAACGCCGCGUGAAGGAAGAAGGCUUUCGGGUUGUAAACUUCUUUUUUCAGGGACGAAGCAAGUGACGGUACCUGAGGAAUAAGCCACGGCUAACUACGUGCCAGCAGCCGCGGUAAUACGUAGGUGGCAAGCGUUAUCCGGAUUUACUGGGUGUAAAGGGCGUGUAGGCGGGACUGCAAGUCAGGUGUGAAAACCACGGGCUCAACCUGUGCCCUGCAUCUGAAACUGUAGUUCUUGAGUACUGGGGAGGCAGGCGGAAUUCGUGGUGUAGCGGUGAAAUGCGUAGAUAUUAGGAGGAACACCGAUGGCGAAGGCAGUCUGCUGGAGAGCAACUGACGCUGAGGCGCGAAAGCGUGGGGAGCAAACAGGAUUAGAUACCCUUGUAGUC